UGGGGAUGAACGUCAAGUCCGCAUCGCUCCUUACGUCUAGGGCUACACACGUCCUACAAUGGGGUCGACAGUGGGAUGCAAAGCCGCGAGGUGGAGCCAAUCCCCAAAACGGCCUCUCAGUUCGGAUAGUAGUCUGCAACUCGACUACUUGAAGUCGGAAUCGCUAGUAAUGGCGGAUCAGCAUGCCGCCGUGAAUACGUUCCCGGGUCUU
rnacentral:rRNA from 1 species